AGAACAAACCGGAUGGUCGCUGCACAGCAAAAAGCUGUGUAGAGGAAAGUCCGAGCUCCAUAGGACAGCGUAGUGGGUAAUACCCACCCUUGCAUACUUUGUAUGCGGGCGGAUUAGAGCAGCAGUGACGAUGCCCCUUGUCGGGGAGUGAAACGUGGCAAUCUCUGCGCGGAGCAAGACCAAAUAGGAGGAGGGCUGUCCGCCUGUUAUUUCUCGGGUUAGGUCGCAAGGAUCCUGUAGAGUAAUUUACAGGACAAGAUAAAUGA
rnacentral:RNase_P_RNA from 1 species